rnacentral:rRNA from 1 species
CACGUAGGCACCAAGCGUUAUCCGGAUUUAUUGGGCGUAAAGAGCUCGUAGGCGGUUCGGUAAGUCGGGUGUGAAAACUCUGGGCUCAACCCAGAGAGGCCACCCGAUACUGCUGUGACUAGAGUGCGGUAGGGGAGCGGGGAAUUCCUGGUGUAGCGGUGAAAUGCGCAGAUAUCAGGAAGAACACCCGUGGCGAAGGCGGCUCUCUGGAACGCAACUGACGCUGAGACGCGAAAGCGUGGGGAGCAAACAGG